rnacentral:rRNA from 2 species
UGCAAGUCGAACGGUAACAGGUCUUCGGAUGCUGACGAGUGGCGGACGGGUGAGUAACGCGUAGGAAUCUGCCCAUCUGUGGGGGAUACCAGUUGGAAACGACUGUUAAUACCGCAUAAUAUCUGCGGAUUAAAGGUGGCCUUUGUGCUGCCGCAGAUGGAUGAGCCUGCGUUGGAUUAGCUAGUUGGUAGGGUAAGGGCCUACCAAGGCUACGAUCCAUAGCUGAUUUGAGAGGAUGAUCAGCCACAUUGGGACUGAGACACGGCCCAAACUCCUACGGGAGGCAGCAGUGGGGAAUAUUGGACAAUGGGGGAAACCCUGAUCCAGCAAUGCCAUGUGUGUGAAGAAGGCUCUAGGGUUGUAAAGCACUUUAGUUGGGGAGGAAAGCCUAUAAGUUAAUAGCUUGUAGGAAGGACGUUACCCAAAGAAUAAGGACCGGCUAACUCCGUGCCAGCAGCCGCGGUAAUACGGGGGGUCCGAGCGUUAAUCGGAAUUACUGGGCGUAAAGGGUCUGUAGGUGGUUUGUUAAGUCAGAUGUGAAAGCCCAGGGCUCAACCUUGGAACUGCAUUUGAUACUGGCAAACUAGAGUAUGGUAGAGGAAUGGGGAAUUUCUGGUGUAGCGGUGAAAUGCGUAGAGAUCAGAAGGAACACCAAUGGCGAAGGCAACAUUCUGGAUCAAUACUGACACUGAGGGACGAAAGCGUGGGGAUCAAACAGGAUUAGAUACCCUGGUAGUCCACGCUGUAAACGAUGAGUACUAGCUGUUGGAUUCGGUGUAAAGGAUCUAGUGGCGCAGCUAACGCGUUAAGUACUCCGCCUGGGGACUACGGCCGCAAGGCUAAAACUCAAAGGAAUUGACGGGGACCCGCACAAGCGGUGGAGCAUGUGGUUUAAUUCGAUGCAACGCGAAGAACCUUACCUGGUCUUGACAUCCUGCGAACUUUCUAGAGAUAGAUUGGUGCCUUCGGGAACGCAGUGACAGGUGCUGCACGGCUGUCGUCAGCUCGUGUUGUGAAAUGUUGGGUUAAGUCCCGCAACGAGCGCAACCCCUAUUGAUAGUUACCAUCAUUAAGUUGGGUACUCUAUUGAGACUGCCGCUGACAAGGCGGAGGAAGGUGGGGACGACGUCAAGUCAUCAUGGCCCUUACGACCAGGGCUACACACGUGCUACAAUGGGUAUUACAGAGGGCUGCGAAGGUGCGAGCUGGAGCGAAACUCAGAAAGGUACUCUUAGUCCGGAUUGCAGUCUGCAACUCGACUGCAUGAAGUCGGAAUCGCUAGUAAUCGCAGGUCAGAAUACUGCGGUGAAUACGUUCCCGGGUCUUGUACACACCGCCCGUCACACCAUGGGAGUGGGUUGCUCCAGAAGUAGAUAGUUUAACGAAUGGGCGUUUACCACGGAGUGAUUCAUGACU